GUGAAUCAUCGAAUUUUUGAACGCAAAUUGCACUCUCUUCGGAGAGUAUGCCUGUUUGAGGGUCAGCCUAAAAAAAAACGACAUAGUUGUUGUUUCGCGGUGUCAUUCGUCGGAAAUUGGGUAAUCUUAAACUUUUGGGUUUUAAGCGGCUUAAAAUUUUAUUUACGAUUUCAUGAACGUUUCUAAGAUUUUACUCUUUAUAUGUUUAAGGUUUCGAUUUUUAUUAGAAGUGGUCGU
rnacentral:misc_RNA from 1 species